CCUACGGGAGGCUGCAGUGGGGAAUAUUGGACAAUGGGGGGAACCCUGAUCCAGCGACGCCGCGUGAGUGAAGAAGUAUUUCGGUAUGUAAAGCUCUAUCAGCAGGGAAGAAAGAAAUGACGGUACCUGACUAAGAAGCCUCGGCUAACUACGUGCCAGCAGCCGCGGGAAUACGUAGGGGGCAAGCGUUCUCCGGAUUUACUGGGUGUAAAGGGAGCGUAGACGGCGAUGCAAGUCUGAAGUGAAAGGCGGGGGCCCAACCCCCGGACUGCUUUGGAAACUGUAUGGCUGGAGUGCAGGAGAGGUAAGUGGAAUUCCUAGUGUAGCGGUGAAAUGCGUAGAUAUUAGGAGGAACACCAGUGGCGAAGGCGGCUUACUGGACUGUAACUGACGUUGAGGCUCGAAAGCGUGGGGAGCAAACAGGAUUAGAUACCCCUGUAGUC
rnacentral:rRNA from 1 species